CAGCUCCUGCCUCCAGGAUCCUGCCCUGUUUGAGUUCCUGUCCUGACCUCCUUCGUGGAUGGACUAAGAUAUGAAAGCAUAAACCGAAUGAACCCUUUCCUCCCCAAGUUCCUUUGGUCAUGGUUUUUCAUCAUGGCAUUAAAAACUGUAAGACACUGGGCUUAGAACCUGCAAGCACCUUGAGGGAAAAGAGCUGAGAACUGGAACUCCCUGAGGAGGGCUGUCUGGGAGGGGUGCUGGGCCCCACCCACUCAGCCUGGAUUCCGGGUGAUCUAAGGACAGACGUGAAGGGGUGUUAACUACUUUGAUGUCAGUGCUGUCAAUGUGAUCUGAAUGUCACAUUUCAUCCGUCACAGGAGAACCGGUGUAUCUGACAGCCCUCUGACUUCAGAGGGUCCGGUGGACAUCUGCUGCAACCCCCCAGACAUGACAAGCUCAAAAAUGGGCUGAAUAAAUCCUUUCGUGUCACCAGCAUAUACAGAAAACACCAGAAAAACACUGUCUGCAAGUGAAGAAGCCUUGCUCAGAGAUGAGGUGUCUUGCCCAAGGACACCCAGCUCCAGGGGCUAAUGGCAGAGAUGUUCCCACAGGACAUCCCCUCUCUGGCAAUUCCUCAAGCUAUCCCUUUUCCCUCUUCAUCUUCUUUCUCCUCAACCUCUCCUAUUCAUAGCAGACCUCUUCUGUUGGCAUCUGUCAGCAUUCCACGUCCUCCUAGGUCGACCAAAAUACCACCUCACCCAAAGCUUUCCUAGGUAGUGAUGUCCAAAUACAUCGGACCCCGCAGCCUACCAGACCUGCCCAGGUGCAGCUCAGUAGCUACUCUUGGCUUACAGGCACUAAGUUGAGGAGUCUCCCCAGCACACUUGGACUUGUGCUUGGUUUUCAUUUUCUGCACUGAUGAAGAUUUCACAAUUGUUACACUCUUGGGGUUCAAAGAACCACAAAGCCCAUCUUACAGUUUAUGGAGCCCACUCUCUAAUAAUAUUGUCAGUUUGGUCCCAUGUCUGAGUUUAAAAAAAUAAAAGCGUUCUCCCCUCUACGAGAGUGGGUUGGACGCUUACAGCUUUC